ACUCCUACGGGAGGCAGCAGUGGGGAAUAUUGCACAAUGGGCGCAAGCCUGAUGCAGCCAUGCCGCGUGUAUGAAGAAGGCCUCGGUUGUAAAGUAACUUUCUAGCAGUGAGGAAGGCGGAGUCGUUAAUAGCGGCCUCGUUUGUACGUUAGCUGCAGAAGAAGCACCGGCUAACUCCGUGCCAGCAGCCGCGGUAAUACGGAGGGGUGCGAGCGUUAAUCGGAAUUACUGGGCGUAAAGCGCAUGCAGGUGGUUUGUUAAGUCAGAUGUGAAAGCCCGGGGGCUCAACCUCGGAAUUGCAUUUGAAACUGGCAGACUAGAGUACUGUAGAGGGGGUAGAAUUUCAGGUGUAGCGGUGAAAUGCGUAGAGAUCUGAAGGAUACCGGUGGCGAAGCGGCCCCCUGGACAGAUACUGACACUCAGAUGCGAAAGCGUGGGAGCAAACGAGGAUUAGAUACCCUGGUAGGAUAGCG
rnacentral:rRNA from 1 species